CAGUAGCCGCGGGAAUACGUAGGGUGCGAGCGUUAAUCGGAAUUACUGGGCGUAAAGCGUGCGCAGGCGGUUUUGUAAGACAGGCGUGAAAUCCCCGGGCUCAACCUGGGAAUGGCGCUUGUGACUGCAAAGCUAGAGUGCGGCAGAGGGGGAUGGAAUUCCGCGUGUAGCAGUGGAAUGCGUAGAUAUGCGGAGGAACACCGAUGGCGAAGGCAAUCCCCUGGGCCUGCACUGACGCUCAUGCACGAAAGCGUGGGGAGCAAACAGGAUUAGAUACCCCUGUAGUCCCUGUCUCUUAUAC
rnacentral:rRNA from 1 species